GAAUGUAGAGGACGCGAUGAUUAUCAGUACCAUUUCGGAUGAGGCUGGCUCAGAGGAAGAUAUGGGAAAGGAUGAUUCGCCGAAGCGGUGAUGAAGGGUCAGGAGGCCUGAGACAGAUAUAUCACCUGCUGGGACCUGGAUUAACAGUUCAGGGACUGUCAUCUUGUAUUCAGGAUGGAGUGCUACGGUA
rnacentral:ncRNA from 1 species